rnacentral:lncRNA from 1 species
GGUAUUCUUAACGUUAAGGCAGAGGACAAAGCGAGUGGUAAAUCAGAGAAGAUUACAAUCACAAACGAGAAGGGUCGUUUGAGCCAAGAAGAGAUUGACCGGAUGGUGAAGGAGGCUGAGGAGUUUGCAGAGGAGGACAAGAAGGUGAAGGAGAGAAUUGACGCCAGAAAUGCCUUGGAGACAUACGUGUACAACAUGAAGAACCAAGUGAAUGACAAGGACAAGCUUGCAGAUAAAUUGGAAGGUGAUGAGAAGGAGAAGAUCGAAGCAGCAACCAAGGAAGCCUUGGAGUGGCUCGAUGAGAACCAAAACUCAGAGAAAGAAGAGUACGAUGAGAAGCUCAAGGAGGUAGAAGCAGUGUGUAACCCAAUCAUCACUGCUGUUUACCAGAGAUCCGGAGGAGCACCAGGUGCCGGAGGAGAACCAACGGCAGAGGAUGAUGAUGAGUCUCACGAUGAGCUCUAGAUGUCUUCUUUUUAUCAUUGAUUUGUUAAAAAUACCCAUUAGAGACAAGUUUUGAGGGGGAAAGAAAAGAAGUCUGUUUUUGGUUUUGUGUUUUAGGAAAAGGGGAGAGAUUAAGUAGCGUCUCUUCUUUAGUCUCCCCAGACGUUCUCUUUAUGUUCAUCUGAUACUUUUACUUCUUCAUAACAAAUACUUCUUUUUUCUUUUCACAUCCAACAUCAGAUAUACACACUCUAGGUUAAGUGGUGUUAACAACACUUCUGUAAGAAUCAAGUCAGAAAAUACAUUUUCAAAAUGUAUUGAUGCCUUUUGGAAUUUGCAGAAGAGACUAGAAAGAGAGGCACGAAAUGAGACUAAAUAUGAUUUGUAAUGUAAGUCGCGUCGAGUGAAACUUACAUGAACAUCAACAUCUUUAAUCUUUAUACAUCGAACGAAUUACAUAGAAGAAUUAGCGGAAUAUCUCUGUUUAUUGCAGUGAUUAAGUGUUUCUAAACGAUUUUUUUUUAAUGAAAAAUGAAAGGUUAAACUUGAAGGUUUGGAGUCUCGAUUUCUAUAGUUUUGCCUACAAACUUUUUGUUCCAGUGUUGUAGACUUGUAGUUUAUUUGAAAUAGCUUUUACAAUGGACUAAAUACAUGUAUGUAUAGGUGAGACAACUAGACUCCAGUUUCAAAGUUUUUUUCAAAUUGAUCUCAAUUGUUCAUCCAAUAAGAUGGAAGCAUGUGUGACAAGUGGAAACAUAUUAUUUGACUAUAUGUUAUCAUCCUGAUACUUGUCACAUAUGCUUGUGUUUAUACAACAUUUAUCAUGAUUUUACGACAUUUGUCACUUCCUCAAUACUCGUUGUUAAAGUUAAUUGCUCAAUAAGGAUUUUUUUUAAUGGCAUUUUUUGGUAUUGUCAUUUUUGGUAAAAUUUUAUAGAUUUGCCAAUUUCAAAUUAGAAAAAUGUGAUUAAACAUUCGUUUUAUUCGUUAUGUUUGAGUUUAGUCGGUAUUAUGAGACAUUUGUUGGUAUUGUAUUCGUUGCAAUUCUUCCGCAUGUUGUUCGUUUUUGUGCGAUAACUUUUGCAUUUUUCUUAUUUGUAGACUAAUAAAAAAUUAAAUAUAUAUUACGGAAUAAAAAUAUAAAUAGAAAGUACAAAAAUGGAAUAUAUUAGCUUUGUAUACAUUUAAAUACAUAUAAAUUUAAAUUUUCAACUGUAAAUAUUUUAGCGUAUAUUGCUAUAAGGAUGUUAUAAAACAUAAGCAAAUAUAAUAAUAUUAUAUACUAGCUUAUGUAAUCAUAUACAUUACCUAAAUAAAGGUAGAAGAGAGACGAGAGGUGAAGGGUGAAAGUUAGAACAAUAAAACUCUACUUAUAAAUACUUCGCUCUCUCUUCUUACACUUCCUUCUUCUCAUGCAUCCCUCGUACCAUAAAGGGUUUUGAGAUAAGAUAAAACUACGAUAGCUUGAGGAUGAAGCUACUUAGAACUUAUGUAAAUAAUAUAACAUAACAAUGGAUAAUCAUCUGUAAAGAUAAGUAUUAAUGUGGAUAAGAAUGAGUGAUAGGAUAAUAACGUUUAUAAUUAUCCAUUUCUAACAUAUAUAUAUUUCUUGAUCAAUCGAUAAGUUCAUGAACCAACAUGAAAAAAUCCCAAGUGAUUUCAUGCGGCAAUGUGGCAUGAAACUAUUGUUUGCAUGUGCCGGUAGAAAAAGAAAACUAACCGUAGGUCCGUAACUAUAAUCUUAACUUACUGCCCAAGUUUUAUGAUGUGACAACUGACAAGAUUGUCUUAAGAACACACACGUGUCACUUGCGGUUCCUUGUAUAAAAACCCAUCACUGGUUCUCUUCACUCCUCAUUUGAUCGCAAUGGUGCCCCUCUCUCUACCAUAACCUUUCGCUUUGUUCUCUCUCUCUCUAGGCACUCUCUCGAUAUUGACUGUAAGUCCCAGAUCUCUAGUUCGUGUUCUUUGACUACUUGUAUGUUUUAUUCUCUUUGCUUCUUCUUGAUUUUAUACUAGAAGGAAUGUUUUCAGUCUUGUUUUUUUCUUUUCAAUCAGAAUUUAGGUGGGGUUAUUGGAUACUGUAUUUUAGUGGAUUUUAAUAUAUUUUAAAGAUACACCGUUAUUGAAUAAAGUAUUUGUUUCAUGUAUUUUAAAUGUAUUAAAAUCCUCUGUUAUUCAAUAUAGAUUUGAUUUUGGUACAUUUUAGUUAUAUUUUUAAGCGAGAUCAUGAGUCAAACAAAUCCAAACAUUUUCAUCAGUAUUUUGGAUUAUUUCACUAUUAUCCUACGGUAAUUAAAAACCUCCAUACAAUAACACCCCCUUAAUUUAGAUCCACAAUACUAGAUCCAUUGUUAGAAACGGUUUUUUUUUAAAAAAAAAUUGAGUUUUCAAAACGGUUUUUGAAGCAAAUCUCUUGGUUUAAUAUGUUCUAACUAGUAUUACACCCGUGCUAUGCACGGACAUAUACAAUAUUUGACUAAAAAUUGCAUGUAUAAAUUAUGUAAGGUUUUACAAAAAAAAACAAUUAUGUAAGGUUUAUCAGAAAAAUGAGUAUGCAUAAAAAAAACAAAAACACACUUGUCAUUGACAACCAGAAACGUACGAACACUAAGUUAGAUUAAAGUAGAAAAAUAUACACAUUGAUCUCAGCUUCUGAGAAGAAAUAUUAGUUAAAAGAUUUCAUGUUUUACUUCUUUAUGCAUUGCUCUUCCAGUAUUUCUCAAUCUGCUCAUUGAGUAGUUUAUAUAUGUCUUCACUGGUUUUUAACAUCAAGUAAUUCAUUCGUGAUCUCCAUCUGCAAACGAUUUUACAAAUCCAGUUAAAACAAUCAGAAGAUGAAAUCAGCAUGUAACACAUGCACAUCUCAAGGUAAAUCAAGUGACAUAAGAAUGAACAUCUUCAGCAUGACUCUGCCAUAAAGUGCAGUCGAUGAUAGUUUGGCUGCAAAAAAAAUGUUAAAUAAUUAAAUCUAAACAACAUAAUACAAACAUUAAAGUAUACAAAGAGAGACAUGAAGAAUUGUCUUACUCUCUUGCAAAUUCACUAGCCUGAGAUCUCUAAGUUGAAUAUCCAACAAUUUUGAACUUUGACCUGAACAAUCUUUCUCACUCAUACCAACAAUCUCACCAAUAAUAUCUGAAUUUUUAAAAAUAAAUUUUUGGAUUACUCAUAUAUUUAAUUAUGAAUCGUAAAGAUAUAUAAGAAUAAAAAUGCCAGAGUUAAGUGACAUGUAAAAUUGCAGUAAAGGAAACAUACCAUAAAAACGUCAUCCUUAGACAUGUAGUAUAGAUGAAAUUAAUCUUGUAAGGAUGUAUGGUUCCCUUGUAGUCACCAUGAUUAGCACAAACUUCGAAAUUCAUUAUAUCAAAGCAUCUUCCUUCCAACAAAUCUUUUUGGAAUUUUCGAGCCAAUUUUUGUUUCACUGAUGCUUGAAUUCGAUCUCCCUGUCCACAAGUUAUUUUAAAAUUUUCGUUAUAUUAAAAAAACUAUAAUGUUAAUUGAAGCUAUAAUGGGAAUUGAAGACUGUUUAUGUACCUUUGAAUCCACCAAAAUAACUUCUAUGCCCAGAAUCACUACAGCUUUAUCUCUUGGAUGAUAAUUCUAUGUACGGGAUAUUAAAGCUCUGAAAGAUGAGUAUAAUCUAGAGGCAUCUUCCAACUGAAAAAUUAAAGUUUUUAAUUAAUAUGAGUAGAAGAUGAAAUAUAUGAAGAUGAAGAAAACUAUAAACAUUUACCUGCACAAUCGUAGUGUAACUGCAAUGUAGAGAUGACUUAUGGAACAGAGGAUUAAAGAGAAGAUGUAUUUUAUAGGAGAAGAAAAAAAUAUGAAACAAAGACGAUAAGAGAGGAGAGGAUAAGAGAUAAAAGAAACUGAUUUGGGAUUUAAAUAGAAGAGGAAUCAGUUAUUUUUUUUCAUUGAUCGUGGAGGUGAUAGUGGCUUAAAAUUAGAGAUAAUUUUUUUCAGUUUCUGCUUUUACUUCUCUUGGAACGAUGAAGAAGAUGAAAAAAUAUAUAUAUUUAUUUUUAGGUUUUAGAUGUGGGCUAAAGCCCAAAACAAAUAUUCAUAGUCGCUGGCUUCUUUCUCUAUUGACGUGGCCUUUUAGUUAUUUUGUUUCCAGAUUCUAAGUUACUUUAAAAAUUUUUUUUUUUCCAGAUUCUAAUUAAUUUUAAUUUGUUCAAUUGUGGGUGAGAAGGUUUUUUUUGUUUAAACUAAAAAGAAAAAAGAAUCUGAUGUGUCAUAAUUAUAUUGGACAGGUGACUUGUGAUUUAUAGGAUAAAUGAUUAGUUAAUCAAGGCUUUGAUUCGGCCGUGAGUGAGUGGGCAAGAUCCACUAUAUACGAACGGCCAGAAAAUAAUAAUAUCCGAUUUAGGUAAAGGCUUGAGGUUUCGAUCUGUUUUGGAAAAACAAUCAAGAAAAUCAAGGUUCAACCUAGUGUUGUUUACUAAUGAUAGAACUCUCAUAACACAUAAGAUUUCAUUAGUGUUUUUAUACUAGUGUUUAUAAUUAUGGUAGAACUCAAUAACUCAUAACAUAUAAUGUUAGUAAAAUGUAUUUUAAAUCUGAUCACAUGAUUUGCUUUUAUUCACAAAUCCACUAAAAUAUGUGAACCAAUAAUUUUUUCCUAAUCUUUGAUCGUUUGGAUAUAAAAAAAAGUUUGUUGAAAGGAUGUCAAAUUCAGAAUCUUUGUGGUAGAUAAUAAAUUGCUUACCCUCACUUUAUUUUUAAUUUUAAUUUUAAUUUUUAAAAAUCUGUUUUUUUCAGGUCUUAAGGAACCAAGAAUGGAUUCGGACCUCGAUGAGCAUGAUGAACCAAUGGUAAGAAUCGCUAUCCUCCCGGUGUUUACUUGUACUAUUUCGUUUGAAGCAUAUGAAGAGUUUUUCCACUUGUUUUCAAAAAUUUGUGAGUUAUAUAGUAAUAGGAUGUUGCUAAACACUGUCUUGAUAUGAGCUAGUAAGGGUUUUGGUUGAGAAUAUAUAAAAGCUAAUGCUCUUAGUUUUUGAAUUGCAGUAUCCAAGGCGUUUAGCUCCAAAUUAUCUUAAAUUCAUGAGAUAUAUGAGGACGACUCUUGAUACUCCAUUAUUCUCAGGAGGAGCAAACCCAUUCGAUGCUAAUGGAUGGAUCAAGCGGUUGGAAAGGAACUUCAUUACUUGUAAGUGUCCCCUAGAGUUUAAGAUGGAUAUUGCUGUGGGUUUCUUGGCUGGGGAUGCUUUGUUCUGGUGGCAAGAAGUUAACCGUGGGAGCAAUGUGAAGACAUGGACAGAGUUUGAAAUUGAAUUCAGGAAGCGGAAUCUUCCACCGGAGGCUAGGGAUUCCAUUGAGCUGCAGUUCUUUGAGCUAGUACAAAGGAGUAAGUCCGUUAGGGAGUAUGAGUCUGAGUUUUGGAGGCUUUUCUAUUUCCUUCUCGAAGAUUAUGACAAGGAGCAAGCUGAUAUUCGUAGGUUCAUAAGGGGACUGAGACCCGAGAUCCGAACAUAUCUAACCGGUAUAAAGUUUAAUCGGCUAGCAGAUGUUGUCCAAAAAGCUACUAUAAUAGAAGCAAACAUUCUAGAGGAGCAGGUUGCAACCUUCGCUUUGGGGAGUAAGGCAUUACAUCCAUCAUGCACUGACCAUGCAGGCAACUCUAGAAAGAACAAAUCCGGAAAGAAAAAGAAGUGUACAGCCUGCGGGGGACACCAUUUUGGACCAUGCUCAUCCGCUAAAGUUUGCUACAACUGUGGUAAUCUUGGUCAUAUUGCGCGAAACUGUAAGAAUGAUGAUGGAAAAGGAUCAGCUACAAUGCCUCCCACAAAGCGUCAAGCCCGCAAUGCAAUGGAUGCUUCUACUUCUUCUUAAUUCCGGUAACAAGAACCCGAUGCACGGGUAAUCUAGUGUAAAAUUCAAGCCUAAUAUAUAUAUUUUUGUUUGUACAGCGGCUAAUACUAUCGGCACUAUGACUAUAACUACCCUAUGCUACCUGCUUUUUGGCUUGUUUAUAGACUCCGUUCACUACCUUGUUUAUAGCCUGAACACUAAUGUAUAAACUUCCUCCCAAUCAUUAAAGUGCCUAUCUAUAUUUAUUUGUCUUGAGGAAUCUUGGUUGUAUGAAUAUUUCUCGCUUUUGUUCAAUUCAACUGUGGUGCUAUGCAUAGCUUCCCUAAUACGUAAGAUUGCAUCAAAGUCUCGAGGAGCAACCAUAUUUAGUGGUCAACUGAUCAUGUUUCUCGAACUACCAUUUGUCUUUUUGAUAAUUUUCUGGAAGUGGAAUGUGGUAGCAUGUUAGGUUGCAUCUCCGAUGAAGUCACAUAUCUUAGGAGUCAAACAACAUGAGAACGCCAAUAAUAGAAAACGCUUACUUGGCCUAAUAAAAUAAAAAGCUUACUGGGCCAAAUAAUAGAAAACGCUUACUGGGCCUAAUAAAAUAAAAAGCUUACUGGGCCAAAUAAUAGAAAACGCUUACUGGGCCUAAUAAUAUAAAAAAGCUUACUGGGCCCAAUAAAUUAAAAAAGGAAGAAGCGCAUUGUCUAGAAUUAAGAAGAAGAAACGAAGUAACAACCAACGGUGACGAUUACACCAACAAAAUAUAAAAUCUGAUUGGUUAAUAUUAUAGAUCGUCGAAAGAUGAUUGGUCCACGUAGUCUACGGUGACAUAGUUAUGUUUCUUCGUCUACCAUAAAAGGAGACUACUUCACCAUCACCUUCGGGCACUACUUGGACCUAUUUAAGCAAACUUCUUCGACAAAGCUUAAAACCAUUAAUUAAUAAAUAAAAAAAGGAAGCUCUGUUGAAAACUAAGUUUAUUCGAUCGAAACAAAGAGGGCGAGAGAGAGAAAUCGAACGCAAUAGUUUCCGAUAUGGCACGCUCGUUCGGAGCAAACGGCACUGUUGUGCUGGCGAUCAUCUUCUUCGGUUAGAGCUCUCUCAUCUUUCUCAAUGUCUUCUUCUUCUUCGAUUUGGAUAUUUUUAGUAAAUUGUGUAGAUCGUAAAAAACUCGUCCGCAUUGUUCCUUGAUCGUAUUAGUAUCGGUUUUCCUGGAUAAUUUGAUUUGUGUUUGUGUUACAUUGUUGAAUUGCAAUUUUACGAUCUUAAGGUUAGAUCUCGUUUACGUAGAUAGUGGAAGAUGUUUGUUGUAGAGAUUAAUUUCAUGGAUAAUGUGGUGACGAGAUUAGGUUGUGGUUUGUGAAAUUGGGAUUGGUAGACAACUAGAGAUUACAGUUUUGAUUUUGAUUUUGAAAUUGUGUAUUGAGCGAUUGGACUUUCUUUUUUUACGUUUCAGGAUGUUUAUUUGCGUUUUCCACUGCCAAAGAAGAGGCCACGAAGCUGGGAUCAGUUAUAGGGAUUGAUCUUGGUACAACUUACUCUUGUGUUGGUGUUUACAAGAAUGGUCACGUUGAAAUUAUUGCCAACGACCAAGGAAACCGUAUUACUCCUUCCUGGGUUGGUUUUACUGACUCUGAGAGGCUCAUUGGUGAGGCUGCUAAGAAUCAGGCGGCUGUUAACCCUGAGAGGACUAUCUUCGACGUCAAGAGAUUGAUUGGGCGAAAGUAAAAUACUUGUCCUCUUUCUCUUGCGUGGUUUCUGUUUGUUUCACCUUGCAGGGAUGUUGAUUUUUUUCUUUCUUUUUGUAUCUGGCAGAUUCGAGGACAAGGAGGUCCAAAAGGACAGGAAACUUGUACCUUACCAGAUUGUGAACAAGGAUGGUAAGCCAUACAUUCAAGUCAAGAUCAAGGAUGGUGAGACUAAGGUUUUCAGUCCUGAGGAGAUCAGUGCUAUGAUUCUGACUAAGAUGAAGGAGACAGCCGAAGCUUACCUUGGAAAGAAAAUCAAGGACGCUGUUGUCACCGUUCCAGGUUAGCCUUGUUGUUAAUUCGGCUUCAUUAUAUGUGGUGGUGACAUAUAUUUUUCUGGAUUGGUGAUUGAUUGUUUAUUUGGUGUUGGCUGUGCGCAGCUUAUUUCAACGAUGCCCAAAGGCAGGCUACGAAGGAUGCUGGUGUUAUUGCUGGGCUUAAUGUUGCUAGAAUCAUCAACGAACCUACUGCUGCUGCUAUUGCCUAUGGUCUGGAUAAAAAGGGUGGUGAGAAGAACAUCCUUGUCUUUGAUCUUGGUGGUGGUACCUUUGAUGUCAGUGUAUUGACCAUUGAUAACGGAGUGUUUGAGGUUCUCUCAACAAAUGGUGACACUCACUUGGGAGGUAAUAUACUUGUACCCACGAAUGAAUCGUUUUCAAUCACUUUUUGUUCAAUAACAGAGGAGUGUUUGCUUUAGUGUUAUGUUGGUGCUAACCUUUUGUUGUUAUGAUCUGCGCAGGUGAGGACUUUGACCACAGGAUCAUGGAGUACUUCAUCAAGUUGAUCAAGAAGAAGCACCAGAAGGACAUCAGCAAGGACAACAAGGCUCUUGGUAAGCUCCGAAGGGAAUGUGAAAGGGCAAAGAGAGCUCUUAGUAGCCAGCAUCAAGUCCGUGUAGAGAUUGAGUCACUCUUUGAUGGUGUUGAUUUCUCUGAGCCACUCACCAGAGCUCGUUUCGAGGAGCUGAACAAUGACUUGUUCAGGAAGACCAUGGGACCUGUGAAGAAGGCCAUGGACGAUGCUGGUCUACAGAAGAGCCAGAUCGAUGAGAUUGUCCUUGUUGGUGGAAGCACCAGGAUCCCAAAGGUUCAGCAACUAUUGAAGGACUUCUUUGAAGGUAAAGAGCCAAACAAGGGUGUGAACCCCGACGAGGCUGUUGCUUAUGGUGCUGCUGUUCAGGGUGGUAUUUUGAGCGGAGAAGGCGGUGAUGAGACCAAAGAUAUUCUUCUUCUUGAUGUGGCACCACUCACUUUGGGUAUUGAGACUGUAGGAGGAGUGAUGACAAAGCUGAUCCCAAGAAACACGGUUAUUCCAACCAAGAAAUCUCAGGUUUUCACAACGUACCAAGACCAGCAGACAACUGUCUCAAUCCAGGUCUUUGAAGGUGAAAGGAGUCUCACCAAGGACUGCAGGUUGCUCGGAAAAUUCGACCUCAACGGNNNNNNNNNNNNNNNNNNNNNNNNNNNNNNNNNNNNNNNNNNNNNNNNNNNNNNNNNNNNNNNNNNNNNNNNNNNNNNNNNNNNNNNNNNNNNNNNNNNNCUUCUUUUAACCUUUUGUAACUGUAUUCUUAGUUGAACUUCAAAGUAAUCAUCAUUCUCCUUUUGACAGAGGAACCCCUCAAAUCGAGGUCACAUUCGAAGUGGACGCCAACGGUAUUCUUAACGUUAAGGCAGAGGACAAAGCGAGUGGUAAAUCAGAGAAGAUUACAAUCACAAACGAGAAGGGUCGUUUGAGCCAAGAAGAGAUUGACCGGAUGGUGAAGGAGGCUGAGGAGUUUGCAGAGGAGGACAAGAAGGUGAAGGAGAGAAUUGACGCCAGAAAUGCCUUGGAGACAUACGUGUACAACAUGAAGAACCAAGUGAAUGACAAGGACAAGCUUGCAGAUAAAUUGGAAGGUGAUGAGAAGGAGAAGAUCGAAGCAGCAACCAAGGAAGCCUUGGAGUGGCUCGACGAGAACCAAAACUCAGAGAAAGAAGAGUACGAUGAGAAGCUCAAGGAGGUAGAAGCAGUGUGUAACCCAAUCAUCACAGCAGUUUACCAGAGAUCAGGCGGAG